rfam:Citrus clementina cultivar Clemenules unplaced genomic scaffold scaffold_5, whole genome shotgun sequence.
AUACCAUGAUGAGGACAUCUCCUAAGUAACUCUUUAAAUAUUUCUCAUGCAUCAUACAAGCUUUCAUCUUUGAGUUGAUAGAAAAAUGUGAUUUUAUUCCUCAAUUU